rnacentral:lncRNA from 1 species
AUUUGGCUUCAAUAGAACGCAAAGUCACCCAAAAGUAUCGUUUUUCCUCUUUCCCAAGAAAGAUAAAAAUAUAAAAACUUUUAAUAAGUGGGUAGAAUAAAGGACAACGAGGAAGAAGAUGUUGAGGAAAUGCCAUCUCAGACCAAAAAAGAAAAACAACGAAAUCUAUAUACCGACGAAAACGGGAGGUUGAAAGUAACCUACAUAGCAGCUUUGCAAACCAGGGAGGAGAUCUUGAGAACUCUUUGUGGUUCUCUCUUGCCAAAAAAGACUGGGUAGCUGAAAAAAAUCUUGUCAAGUCUACAUUCGAAUACGCUGCGAACAUAAUUGAAAUGGCUCUGUACAUGGCAAAAAGUAAUAUGAAAGAGUUUUUUACACUGCUGAAAUAAUGUGCGAUCUGGGAACAAUUGCUGGGAAAUUACCGAAACCAGACAAAAAUCAGUUCGUGUCCAGUUUACUCAGCCGAUUCAACAGAAAUUAAAUACUGUAUAGCCAUACAAUAACAUGACCAUGUUACACUUUUUUCUAUAAGAGCCAUUCAAAUUAUGCCCAGGCUCACUUUUAUUAUUUUUGCUGAUUCCAGCAUUGCUUUAUUUCCAUUUACAGAAAAUUGUUAUUGUACAGCAGUAUAUUACUGUGCCAUAAAUGUUAUAAGAUCGUUAUCGUUGAAGUAUAAACAGGCCUUUAUCCAACCUGGGCUUCAAUAUUUGGAAAAGCUUUUGGUUUGUACCUGAUUGUACUUUUCUUAUGAGGUAGUUCUUGUUAUCUUGCAUAGUAAAAUACCCACUACAUGUCUUGUGACAUGUUUCCAAACUACAUCUUCCACGUUUUAUUAACAAAUUCUACCCACUUAAUAAAUGUUUCUAUAUCUUUUUUGGAAAGAGAACAAAAGAUAGUUUCUGGUGACUAAAUUGCAUUCUGAUGUGUUGAAUUUGUGUAGAAAAAAAUCAUGGAAAAUAAUUUUAUAUAACCAAUUAUGUUAUUUACUAAGAUAAUUCAUAUAUAAGGGUUUUUUGAAAUGAUAAUACUGUUAGUGCAAUAAACAAGCAAUUAAUUACCAUUAAUCAUUUUUUAAACAAGUUAAAUUGGAUAACAAUUAUAUUUAUUAUUACAUUUACUAAUCUUUACAUUUAAUGAUAAUAAAGCAUGCUUUAGCAUGAAUACUGCAAUCAUAAUCUAACUGUAAAUUAGUGGAAAGUGUCUUCACUUUGUUUCAGUACUUAGCAAAGGUUGUCCCAUUUUGUGAAAAAAUAAUAAGAGUUCGUCAGUGUUAAAUAAUAUCAUGAGAGUCUCUUGUAGCAUGAAUACUGCAAUAGUAAUCAAACAAGUAUUUCAUUAAUCAAAUUGUAAAUGAUUUUAAUUGAAUUACAAUUAUACAGUACAGUAGUAAUACUACUUACAUUAAAAAAAAAAAAAAAGACAUGCAUAUUGUUUUUAAGGUUGUUGGACAUACUGUAUUACUAAAAUAAAUAUGCUAUUACGAAGCACACAAAACCUGGUAUAGUGUAAUGCCUUAAUUUUGUUAAUAAAUAGGUGCCUAGUAUCGUCAGG